rnacentral:rRNA from 1 species
UAAGUCGGUGAUCCUAUGCUGCCAAGAAAAUCUUCUAGCGAGGUUCGAGCCGCCCGUACCCCAAACCGACUCAGGUGGUUAGGUAGAGAAUACCAAGGCGAUCGAGUGAAUCGUGGUUAAGGAAUUCGGCAAAAUACCCCCGUAACUUCGGGAGAAGGGGGGCCCAGAGGGUGACGGGACUUGCUCCCCGAGCCUGAACGGCCGCAGAGACCAGGGAGAAGCGACUGUUUACUAAAAACACAGGUCCGUGCCAAGUCGCAAGACGAUGUAUACGGACUGACGCCUGCCCGGUGCUGGAACGUUAAGGGGACCGGUUAGCCUCACGGCGAAGCUGAGAACUUAAGCGCCAGUAAACGGCGGUGGUAACUAUAACCAUCCUAAGGUAGCGAAAUUCCUUGUCGGGUAAGUUCCGACCUGCACGAAUGGCGUAACGAUUUCUCCACUGUCUCAACCACGAACUCGGCGAAAUUGCACUACGAGUAAAGAUGCUCGUUACGCGCAGAAGGACGGAAAGACCCCGGGACCUUUACUACAGCUUGGUAUUGGUGUUCGGUACGGCUUGUGUAGGAUAGGUGGGAGACUGUGAAGCUGACACGCCAGUGUCGGUGGAGUCAACGUUGAAAUACCACUCUGGUCGUUCUGGAUAUCUAACCUAGGUCCGUGAUCCGGAUCAGGGACAGUGCCUGGUGGGUAGUUUAACUGGGGCGGUUGCCUCCUAAAAGGUAACGGAGGCGCCCAAAGGUUCCCUCAGCCUGGUUGGCAAUCAGGUUUUGAGUGUAAGUGCACAAGGGAGCUUGACUGUGAGACUGACAAGUCGAACAGGGACGAAAGUCGGGACUAGUGAUCCGGCGGUGGCUUGUGGAAGCGCCGUCGCUCAACGGAUAAAAGGUACCCCGGGGAUAACAGGCUGAUCUUGCCCAAGAGUCCAUAUCGACGGCAUGGUUUGGCACCUCGAUGUCGGCUCGUCGCAUCCUGGGGCUGGAGUAGGUCCCAAGGGUUGGGCUGUUCGCCCAUUAAAGCGGUACGCGAGCUGGGUUUAGAACGUCGUGAGACAGUUCGGUCCCUAUCCUCUGCGCGCGCAGGAAACUUGAGAAGGGCUGUCCCUAGUACGAGAGGACCGGGAUGGACGAACCUCUGGUGUGUCAGUUGUUCUGCCAAGAGCACCGCUGAUUAGCUACGUUCGGGAGUGAUAACCGCUGAAAGCAUCUAAGCGGGAAGCAUGCUUCAAGAUGAGGUUUCCAUGGGGUUUACCCCGAGAGGCUCCCAGCUAGACUACUGGGUUGAUAGGCCGGAUGUGGAAGUGCGGUAACGCAUGGAGCUGACCGGUACUAAUAAGCCGAUAACUUGAUU